rnacentral:lncRNA from 1 species
GGUGCCUAAUCUGGAGGAGCUGGCAUGCAUUAUGGGAUGUAGCAUUGGGACUAUAACUACAACAUACUUGGGCCUACCAUUGGGAGCUAAGUUAAAAAACAUCGAGGUAUGGAAUGAGAUCAUUGAAAAAUUUGAGAAGAGACUAACCUCCUGGCAACUUCAAUAUGUAUCCAUAGGUGGCAAAUUAACUCUCAUCAACAGUGUGCUCGACAGCAUCCCAACAUACUUCAUGUCACUGUUUCCCAUUCCAAAGAAAGUUCUAAAUCAAUUGGAUAGAAUCAGGAGAAAUUUCUUAUGGGAGUGAAAUAGCAAGACCCACAAAUUUUAUCUGAUAAAGUGGGACAAAGUCAGUAAGCCGAAAUGCAAUGGAGGAUUGGGAGUCACAGAUCUAGCAGCACACAAUAAAUGCCUACUAAUGAAGUGGCUUUGGAGAUUUGGCACGGGAGAAUCAAGCCUAUGGAAGGAAGUGAUCACGGCCAAGCAUGGGAAAAGAGAUAACUGGAGCACUAAAAGUUCUAAUGCAUCUUAUGGUGUGGGUCCUUGGAAGUACAUCAGUAAAUUGGGGAGUGAAUUUUUUCAGCGCAUCAAUUCAAACCAGGCAAUAGGGCUCACAUAAGAUUCUGGAAAGAUAAAUGGCUAGAGAACUCUUAACUCAUGGAUGAGUUUCCUAGCCUAUAUCAGAUUGCUCUACACCAGAAUUCCUCUAUAGCUCAAAACAGAAAUGGUAGCAACUGGGAUGUUCACUUUAGAAGAGCAGUGCAAGACUGGAAAAUUGAUAGCCUAUUUGAUUUGCUAGCAAAAGUGGAGGGAUACAAUAUUGAUGUGAGCCAACCUGAUAUUGCAAGACUGGGAAAUUGAUAGCCUAUUUGAUUUGCUAGCAAAAGUGGAGGGGUACAAUAUUGAUGUGAGCCAACCAGAUACCAUAUGCUGGGGAAGCAAGGGCACCAUCAUAGUAAAAGAAUGCUACAGGCAAACUGAUUCUCAGAACCAGGUGGUAGAUGCGUGGCCCUGGAAGUUAAUAUGGAAGACCAAACUGCCUAUCAAAGUCAUUUGCCACAACUGGAUUGCCAUCAACGAGGCCUGCUUAACUCAAAACAACCUCAACAGAAAAGGUUUCCAGCUGGUCAACAAAUGUUACCUAUGUUUGAGAGAUGCAGAAACUGUCAACCAUUUGUUUUUGCAUUGCCCGAAUGCUUUUGACCUUUGGAAUAUGUUCCUUUGCAUUUUUGGCUUGAUUUGGGUCAUGCCACAGAAUAUGAAA